rnacentral:rRNA from 1 species
UACGUAGGGCGCAAGCGUUGUCCGGAAUUAUUGGGCGUAAAGCGCACGUAGGCGGCUUUGUAAGUUAGAGGUGAAAGCCCGGGGCUCAACUCCGGAACUGCCUUUAAGACUGCAUCGCUUGAAUCCAGGAGAGGUGAGUGGAAUUCCGAGUGUAGAGGUGAAAUUCGUAGAUAUUCGGAAGAACACCAGUGGCGAAGGCGGCUCACUGGACCGGAACUGACGCUGAGACGCGAAAGCGUGGGGAGCGAACCGG